CCUACGGGCGGCAGCAGUGAGGAAUAUUGGUCAAUGGACGAGAGUCUGAACCAGCCAAGUAGCGUGAAGGAUGACUGCCCUAUGGGUUGUAAACUUCUUUUAUAUGGGAAUAAAAUGUUCCACGUGUGGGAUUUUGUAUGUACCAUAUGAAUAAGGAUCGGCUAACUCCGUGCCAGCAGCCGCGGUAAUACGGAGGAUCCGAGCGUUAUCCGGAUUUAUUGGGUGUAAAGGGAGCGUAGGUGGAUUGUUAAGUCAGUUGUGAAAGUUUGCGGCUCAACCGUAAAAUUGCAGUUGAAACUGGCAGUCUUGAGUACAGUAGAGGUGGGCGGAAUUCGUGGUGUAGCGGUGAAAUGCUUAGAUAUCACGAAGAACUCCGAUUGCGAAGGCAGUUCACUGGACUGCAACUGACACUGAGGCUCGAAAGUGUGGGUAUCAAACAGGAUUAGAUACCCGGGUAGUC
rnacentral:rRNA from 1 species